UUAUACGGAAGCAGGAACUAUAAUUUCAAACACUGGCCUGUAAUUUUCUCAUGCUGUGGAAAUUAUAUAAACCUAUCUAUCCUAGAUUGAUUAAAACAACAAUUGAGGGCCUGAGUAUCAAGAAAGGAAACAGAAGAGAUGAGGAAGAGAGGACUUGCCGUGUUAACCCAAAACUCGGCAAAGAUCAAUCAGAGAAGGGCACAAAAGUAGAUUAUGGUUCAUAGAAGGUAGAUGAUAACAAAAUGGAGAAAGUAAAACAUGCUGCAGCAAAAGAAAAAUUCUAUCAAAUGAGGAAGAUAACAAAAUCCGAGAACUGGCUUCUUCAUUGAUAGAAAAGCAGGCAGUCUCCUAACACAUAAGUCGCAUGCUACUCUUUAUUAUUCUCAAAGAACAAUGAAAGGUGUUUUUUUCAUUGGAGAAGCUUCAAAGGUAUCAGAAAUUUCACAUAGGUACGAGGAACAGUUGCCACAGCCCAUUGGGUUGAGCAAGAAAUCAUAAAAGUUGGUGAUCAAGUUGAGAUUUUAAGUAUAAUGCAACUAUGUCCAUUGAAUUUUUUUUUCUGGAUUUUGGCUUUCUUUUGAUCAAAAUGCUAAUUGAUGAUGAGGUAAGGACAUUCUUUAGAUAAGUUCAAGGUGAAGUAUAUUUAUAAUGAAAAAUGCCUUCCAGAGACAAGCCGCUGAACUUUAAUCUGACUGAUCAUGAUUCUUGGAUUCUUGAUCAUAUUCUAAUGAUAUUUUUUUAAUCAAAUUGAGCCAAUAUGCAUAAGUCCAGUUACUUUGUGAUCAAUAUAGAAAUGUUGUAGCUUUGGAGUUUUUAUGUGAA